AUUGAACGCUGGCGGCAUGCCUUACACAUGCAAGUCGAACGGUAACGCGGGGCAACCUGGCGACGAGUGGCGAACGGGUGAGUAAUGCAUCGGAACGUGCCCAGUAGUGGGGGAUAGCCCGGCGAAAGCCGGAUUAAUACCGCAUACGACCUACGGGUGAAAGGGGGGGAUCGCAAGACCUCUCGCUAUUGGAGCGGCCGAUGUCAGAUUAGGUAGUUGGUGGGGUAAAGGCCUACCAAGCCGACGAUCUGUAGCUGGUCUGAGAGGACGACCAGCCACACUGGGACUGAGACACGGCCCAGACUCCUACGGGAGGCAGCAGUGGGGAAUUUUGGACAAUGGGCGCAAGCCUGAUCCAGCCAUGCCGCGUGCGGGAAGAAGGCCUUCGGGUUGUAAACCGCUUUUGUCAGGGAAGAAACGCGCUGAGCUAAUACCUCGGCGUAAUGACGGUACCUGGAGAAUAAGCACCGGCUAACUACGUGCCAGCCGCCGCGGUAACAC
rnacentral:rRNA from 1 species